rnacentral:lncRNA from 1 species
GUUUUCUUUUUAUUUCUUAAGCUUUCAGCACUAAAUCUUUUUAUUUUCUUUUGGGUUCAUUUUUCUUCUUUUGUAGACGUUUAUUCAGGGAUUUUAAUUUUUUCCCCAGGUACUACUUUUCAUUUAUUUGUAGAUUGGUUGCCGCACAGUUUUGCGAACGCAGAAAAAUUAUUUAAAUUGAACUAUAUCGAGUUGUAUUUAAAAAUUUGGGCAUUAUAAAAAUGAAGAAAUUAACAACUAAAGGUCACCGUAUGGU